GUGGGGAAUCUUGCGCAAAGGGCGAAAGCCUGACGCAGCCAUGCCGCGUGUGUGAAGAAGGCCUUUUGGUUGUAAAGCACUUUAAGCGAGGAGGAGGCUACCGAGAUUAAUACUCUUGGAUAGUGGACGUUACUCGCAGAAUAAGCACCGGCUAACUCUGUGCCAGCAGCCGCGGUAAUACAGAGGGUGCAAGCGUUAAUCGGAUUUACUGGGCGUAAAGCGCGCGUAGGUGGCCAAUUAAGUCAAAUGUGAAAUCCCCGAGCUUAACUUGGGAAUUGCAUUCGAUACUGGUUGGCUAGAGUAUGGGAGAGGAUGGUAGAAUUCCAGGUGUAGCGGUGAAAUGCGUAGAGAUCUGGAGGAAUACCGAUGGCGAAGGCAGCCAUCUGGCCUAAUACUGACACUGAGGUGCGAAAGCAUGGGGAGCAAACAGGAUUAGAUACCCUGGUAGUCC
rnacentral:rRNA from 1 species